CGCUAGUAAUCGCGAAUCAGCAUGUCGCGGUGAAUACGUUCCCGGGUCUUGUACACACCGCCCGUCACACCAUGGGAGUUGGAAAUGCCCGAAGUCAGUGACCCAACCGAAAGGAGGGAGCUGCCGAAGGCAGGUUCGAUAACUGGGGUGAAGUCGUAACAAGGUAAC
rnacentral:rRNA from 1 species